rnacentral:rRNA from 1 species
GACGAACGCUGGCGGCGUGCCUAAUACAUGCAAGUAGAACGCUGAAGGAGGAGCUUGCUCUUCUGGAUGAGUUGCGAACGGGUGAGUAACGCGUAGGUAACCUGCCUGGUAGCGGGGGAUAACUAUUGGAAACGAUAGCUAAUACCGCAUAACAGUAGAUGUUGCAUGACAUUUGCUUAAAAGGUGCAAUUGCAUCACUACCAGAUGGACCUGCGUUGUAUUAGCUAGUUGGUGGGGUAACGGCUCACCAAGGCGACGAUACAUAGCCGACCUGAGAGGGUGAUCGGCCACACUGGGACUGAGACACGGCCCAGACUCCUACGGGAGGCAGCAGUAGGGAAUCUUCGGCAAUGGACGGAAGUCUGACCGAGCAACGCCGCGUGAGUGAAGAAGGUUUUCGGAUCGUAAAGCUCUGUUGUAAGAGAAGAACGAGUGUGAGAGUGGAAAGUUCACACUGUGACGGUAUCUUACCAGAAAGGGACGGC